rnacentral:rRNA from 1 species
GACGAACGCUGGCGGCGUGCUUAACACAUGCAAGUCGAACGAAGUGGCGAACGGGUGAAUAACGCGGAAUACACCUGCCCUUCAGAGGGGGACCACAGUUGGACACGACUGCUAAUACCGCAUACUGCAGGAGGGGGUUGGGUCGGUUUAGCUAGGUGGUGGGGUAACGGCCCAGCAAGGCGAUGAUCAGUAGCCGGUCUGAGAGGAUGGACGGCCACAUUGGGACCUGGAAACGGCCCAGACUCCUACGGGAAGGAGCAAGGGGGAAACUGCCGGCAUGGACGAAAGUCUUACGGAGCAACGCCGCGGGAGUGAUGACGGCCUUCGGGUUGUAAAGCUCUGUUAAUCGGGUCGCGGUACCGGAAUAGAAAGCCACGGCUAACUACGUGCCAGCAGCCGCGGUAAUUC